rnacentral:rRNA from 1 species
CCUACGGGUGACAGCAGUGGGGGAUAUUGCACAAUGGGGGAAACCCUGAUGCUGCGACGCCGCGUGGGUGAAGAAGCGCCUCGGCGCGUAAAGCCCUGUCAGCACGGAAGAAAAUCACGGUACCUGAAGAAGAAGCCCCGGCUUACUACGUGCCAGCACUCGCGGUUAUACGUAGGGGGCAAGGGUUAUCCGGGUUUCAGGGGUGUAAAGGGGGCGCAGACGGCGAUGCAAGCCAGGAGGGAAAGCCCGGGGCCCAACCCCGGGACUGCGUUGGGAACUGCGUGGCUAGAGGGCAGGGGGGGCAGGCGGAAUUCCUGGUGUAGCGGUGAAAUGCGUAGAUAUCAGGAGGAACAACGGUGGCGAAGGCGGCCUGCUGGACUGCAACUGACGUUGAGGCCCGAAGGCGUGGGUAGCAAACAGGAUUAGAUACCCUUGUAGUC